UAAUAAGAAGCAAAUCUUGCAUUUAGUUUCGACCUAAAAAUUUGGUAUUUAUUUACCCUUAUUUU
rnacentral:tRNA from 1 species